rnacentral:rRNA from 1 species
AGAGUUUGAUCCUGACUCAGAACGAACGCUGGCGGCGUGGAUUAGGCAUGCAAGUCGAACGAUAAUUUCUGGUAUCGCAAGAUAUCGGAGAAGAGAGUGGCGGAAGGGUGAGUAACGCGUGGGCAAUUUGCCUUGAAGAUCGGGAUAGCUCUUCGAAAGGAGGGAUAAUACCGAAUGUGGUCGCCUCGGGCAUCCGAGGUUGUCUGAAGGUGGGGAUUCGUAAGAACCUGUCACUUCAAGAUGAGCCCGCGUCCCAUCAGCUAGUUGGUGAGGUAAUGGCCCACCAAGGCUUACGGGUAGCUGGUCUGAGAGGAUGGUCAGCCACACUGGGACUGAGAUACUGCCCAGACUCCUACGGGAGGCUGCAGCCGAGGAUCAUUCGCAAUGCGCGAAAGCGUGACGAUGCGACGCCGCGUGUAGGAUGAAGGCCUUCGGGUCGUAAACUACUGUCGUAGGGGAACAAUGAUUGGUGCAUGAAUAAUGCAUCAAAGUGAUAGUACCCUAGGAGGAAGCCACGGCUAACUCUGUGCCAGCAGCUGCGGUAAUACAGAGGUGGCAAGCGUUGUUCGGAUUUACUGGGCGUAAAGGGUGCGUAGGCGGUUUCGUGUGUCAGAUGUGAAAGCCUAUCGUUCAUCGAUAGAAUUGCAUUUGAAACUACGAGGCUAGAGUUCAGGAGAGGGGAGUGGAAUUCUUGGUGUAGCGGUGAAAUGCGUAGAUAUCAAGAGGAACACCGGUUGCGAAGGCGGCUCCCUGGAAUGACACUGACGCUGAGGCACGAAAGCUAGGGGAGCAAACAGGAUUAGAUACCCUGGUAGUCCUAGCCCUAAACGGUGUGCAUUUGGUGUAGGCAGGUUUGUCCCUGUCUGUGCCGGAGCUAACGCGUUAAAUGCACCGCCUGGGGAGUACGGUCGCAAGGCUAAAACUCAAAGGAAUUGACGGGGGCCCGCACAAGCGGUGGAAUAUGUGGCUUAAUUCGAUGCAACGCGAAGAACCUUACCAGGGCUUGACAUGCAACUGCACGUCCCGUGAAAGCGGGAUUCCUUCGAGGGUGUUGCACAGGUGCUGCAUGGCUGUCGUCAGCUCGUGCCGUGAGGUGUUGGGUUAAGUCUCGCAACGAGCGCAACCCCUAUGAUUAGUUGCCAUCACAGUAAUGUGGGCACUCUAAUCAGACUGCCUGUGAUAAGCAGGAGGAAGGUGGGGAUGACGUCAAGUCAGUAUGGUCCUUAUGUCCUGGGCUGCACACGUAUUACAAUGGACGGUACAGAAGGAAGCAAGACCGCGAGGUGGAGCCAAUCCUCAAAAACCGUCCUUAGUUCGGAUUGAAGUCUGCAACUCGACUUCAUGAAGCCGGAAUCGCUAGUAAAGGCGUAUCAGCUACGACGCCUUGAAUACGUUCCCGGGCCUUGUACACACCGCCCGUCACAUCAUGAAAGCCGAUUGCACCCGAAGUCGCUGAUCUAACCCGCAAGGGGAGAAAGUGCCGAAGGUGUGGUUGGUGAUUGGGAUGAAGUCGUAACAAGGUA